GUAGGUGGCAAGCGUUGUCCGGAAUUAUUGGGCGUAAAGCGCGCGCAGGCGGUUCUUUAAGUCUGAUGUGAAAGCCCACGGGCUCAACCGUGGAGGGUCAUUGGAAACUGGAGAACUUGAGUACAGAAGAGGAAAGCGGAAUUCCACGUGUAGCGGUGAAAUGCGUAGAGAUGUGGAGGAACACCAGUGGCGAAGGCGGCUUUCUGGUCUGUAACUGACGCUGGGGCGCGAAAGCGUGGGGAGCAAACAGGAUUAGAUACCCUGGUAGUCCACGCCGUAAACGAUGAGUGCUAAGUGUUAGGGGGUUUCCGCCCCUUAGUGCUGCAGCUAACGCAUUAAGCACUCCGCCUGGGGAGUACGGCCGCAAAGGCUG
rnacentral:rRNA from 1 species